AUGUCUCUGGUCUCUUCCUUGUGCAUCAGGAAUCACUUUGGACUGGCCCAAGAGUGGGGCUGUGGGCACGCAGAGCACACCAGAUUUCUGAAUGAUUAUGGCCAUGCAUCAUUGUGUAGGGACUUUAAGAAGCUGCUGAAGAACAAAAAUGAAGGUGGGAGCUGUUGGUGUCGAGUGACUCAUAGCACCAUCCUUCAGGGACGGUGUGGUUGGCCAGAGUAUGGUCAGGGAGAGCCAAGAGAAGAAGUGCUUCUGAGUAUGACCCAGCAGGGUGGAAAGAAGGAGUCUCCCAAGUGCACAUUUGUUGGAGGAAGCUUUUGUGGGCUCCUGACAUUCCAUUAUUCUAGAACUACAAGGAGACACCCUCCAGAGAAAGCAGCAACAAGGCACCAUCUUGGAAGCUGA
rnacentral:lncRNA from 1 species